rnacentral:rRNA from 1 species
UCGUAAAAUAUUUACCCACACCUCAACCGCCAGAGCACUACGAGUAACUAACUUAAAACUCAAAGGACUUGACGGCGUCUCACCUACCUAGAGGAGCCUGUUCUAUAAUCGAUACCCCCCGAUACACCUAACCACUUUUUGCUAAUCAGUCUGUAUACCUCCGUCGCAAGCUUACCAUAUGAAUGUUAAUUAGUAAGCAAAAAGGUCACCACACCAAUACGUCAGGUCAAGGUGCAACCCACAAAGUGGUAAGAAAUGGGCUACACUUUCUAAUUUAGAAGAUACGAAUAGUCAUAUGAAAAAUGACAAUGAAGGCGGAUUUAGUAGUAAGGGGCAAAUAGAGCGUGCCCCUUAACCCAGCAAUGAGACGUGUACACACCGCCCGUCACCCUCUUCAAUCAAACAACUUUAGUUUAUAACACCCCACAACACUAAAGAAGAGGUAAGUCGUAACAUGGUAAGUAUACUGGAAAGUGUACUUGGAAUAA